AUUCAUGUAAUUCAGGUG
rnacentral:miRNA from 1 species